UGAGGAAUAUUGGUCAAUGGGCGCAAGCCUGAACCAGCCAUGCCGCGUGCAGGAUGACGGUCCUAUGGAUUGUAAACUGCUUUUGCACAGGAAGAAACACCCGGACGUGUCCGAGCUUGACGGUACUGUGAGAAUAAGGAUCGGCUAACUCCGUGCCAGCAGCCGCGGUAAUACGGAGGAUCCAAGCGUUAUCCGGAAUCAUUGGGUUUAAAGGGUCCGUAGGCGGUCAGAUAAGUCAGUGGUGAAAGCCCUACGCUCAACGUAGGAACGGCCAUUGAUACUGUUAGACUUGAAUUACUUGGAAGUAACUAGAAUAUGUAGUGUAGCGGUGAAAUGCUUAGAGAUUACAUGGAAUACCAAUUGCGAAGGCAGGUUACUACAAGUGGAUUGACGCUGAUGGACGAAAGCGUGGGUAGCGAACAGGAUUAGAUACCCCGGUAGUCCCUGAGCGGGCUGGCAAGGCGCAU
rnacentral:rRNA from 1 species